rnacentral:misc_RNA from 1 species
GAUGAAGAACGCGGCGAAAUGCGAUAAGUAAUGUGAAUUGCAGAAUUCAGUGAAUCAUCGAAUCUUUGAACGCACAUUGCGCCCGUCAGUAUUCUGGCGGGCAUGCCUGUUCGAGCGUCAUUACGCCCCUCAAGUCCCCUGUGGACUUGGUGUUGGGGAUCGGCGAGGCUGGUUUUCCAGCACAGCCGUCCCUUAAAUUAAUUGGCGGUCUCGCCGUGGCCCUCCUCUGCGCAGUAGUAAAACACUCGCAACAGGAGCCCGGCGCGGUCCACUGCCGUAAAACCCCCCAACUUUUUAUAGUUGACCUCGAAUCAGGUAGGACUACCCGCUGAACUUAAGCAUAUCAAUAAGCGGAGGA